rnacentral:rRNA from 1 species
UACGUAGGCAGCAAGCGUUGUUCGGAGUUACUGGGCGUAAAGGGUGCGUAGGCGGCGCGGUAAGUCGGGUGUGAAAUCUCGGAGCUUAACUCCGAAACUGCAUUCGAUACUGCCGUGCUUGAGGACUGGAGAGGAGACUGGAAUUUACGGUGUAGCGGUGAAAUGCGUAGAUAUCGUAAGGAAGACCAGUGGCGAAGGCGGGUCUCUGGACAGUUCCUGACGCUGAGGCACGAAGGUCAGGGGAGCAAACGGG